rfam:Danio rerio chromosome 13, GRCz11 reference primary assembly.
UAUUAUUAUUAUUAUAAGUCGCUUUGGAUAAAAGCGUCUGCUAAAUGACUAAAU